rnacentral:rRNA from 1 species
GACGAACGCUGGCGGCGUGGAUUAGGCAUGCAAGUCGAACGGUAUCAUCCUUUCGGGGGUGAGAGAGUGGCGAACUGGUGAGUAACACGUAGGUUAUCUACCCUCAAGACGGGGACAACCCAGGGAAACUUGGGCUAAUACCGGAUGUGAGCAACUUUUAGUUGUUUGAAAGGUGGCGUAAGCUGUCGCUUGGGGAUGAGCCUGCGUCCUAUUAGUUAGUUGGUGAGGUAACGGCUCACCUAGGCAAUGAUAGGUAGGCGGCCUUAACGGGUGGUCGCCCACACUGGGAUUGAGAUACGGCCCAGACUCCUACGGGAGGCAGCAGUCGAGAAUAGUCUACAAUGGUCGGAAGACUGAUAGUGCGACGCCGCGUGAACGAUGAAUCCCUUCGGGGUGUAAAGUUCUUUUAUAUGUGAGCAGUGCUUCUUAUAUUAACAGUAUGGGGAAGAGAUAUUAGCAUAUGAAUAAGGCAACGGCUAAACUCCCGUGCCCAGCCAGCCGCGGUAAGCUCCG